rnacentral:lncRNA from 1 species
GUGUGUGCGCAGCCCUGGUUGUCUCUGGGAGCCCCAGGGCCCGGGAGGGAGGGUGAUCCUGCCAGCAAGCACUUAACAAAUUGGCCUGAAAUGCCCCAUCCCUGGCUCCCAGACCUCCCGGCGCCCGGAGGGAGCAGGGAGGGGAAAGCCCAGAACCCAGGCAAAAGAAUUAAUUGAAGGUUGAACUCUGUGCUCAGAGGAAGAGGCACAUCCUCUCGGGUCGCUGCCCCUCCCUCGGCUGACAUCCCUAUGUACCAUCCUGACACCCUCGUGGAACCACCCAUCAUAUGGCUCAAUUGAUGGACAAGUCAGGAACCUCACAACUCAAGGUACAGGUGGUACAGGAGGAGGACGUGCUCCAGACCGCACGAGAAGGGUGGACAGUGAAGUGACGGCGUCAGGUCAAGGGCAAUUUGAAGCGUGCUGGCUUGGUGAGAGGCUGAGAGGGGGGACACCAGGACAGAAGGGUCGCCAGGGCCCUCAGGGGAGGGGGCGCUCCCUCUGCAGAAGCGGGGGUGGGAGGAGGCUUCAACACAGAAGGACAGGGGCCCCAGGCAGGGGGGCAGUGACAACGGUGUUAUAGUCCAGGGACAUUUCUUGAGGGAGCUCGUGGUACCUUCCUCCUAGGGACCCAGACCUUGGGAUGUGAGGAGUGCAUCCUCAUCGAGACACAAUUUCUCUUUAAAACUAUGCCGUCAAUGUGCGGGUGAGGGGUCUGUGCUUCCAGAGGCAGGAAGGGGGCCCGGUAAUGCCCUGGGGAGGUCAGGAGUCCUGCCUGCACUGAAGGCACAUCUCCGUGGGCAAACCCAGAGGUAAAGUGGCCCUCACUCUGCCCUCUUCCAGGCCGUGACACCCCUGCCCCUGCGAGCAGCCCCCUACCCGGCUGCAGAGGGGUGUGCUGCGGGCCCCGACCCGUCUAAAGCAUCCAUUGUCCACUUCCUCUGUGAUGAGGGUGACACUCUCAGUGAUAGAAAGUUUUGUGCUCACAGAAGAGCAUGAAGAAGAAGACUGAGACCCCCCUCCUAGCUCUCCCUUUA